rnacentral:misc_RNA from 1 species
UCUCCGUUGGUGAACCAGCGGAGGGAUCAUUACAGGACUCGCAAGACUCCCGUAACCACUGUGAACCUACCUAUACUCGUUGCCUCGGCGGGUGCUCCGGCUCGCUCCGGAGCGCUACGCCCGCCGGCGGCACACAACUCUUGUCUCUUGCGUUGGCAUCUCCGAGUAUCGCAGAAUGCAUAAAAACUUUCAACAACGGAUCUCUUGGUUCUGGCAUCGAUGAAGAACGCAGC